rnacentral:misc_RNA from 1 species
GAUGAAGAACGUAGCGAAAUGCGAUACGUAAUGUGAAUUGCAAAUUCAGUGAAUCAUCGAGUCUUUGAACGCACAUUGCGCCCCCUGGUAUUCCGGGGGGCAUGCCUGUCCGAGCGUCAUUGCUGCCCUCAAGCACGGCUUGUGUGUUGGGCCCCGUCCUCCGAUCCCGGGGGACGGGCCCGAAAGGCAGCGGCGGCACCGCGUCCGGUCCUCGAGCGUAUGGGGCUUUGUCACCCGCUCUGUAGGCCCGGCCGGCGCUUGCCGAUCAACCCAAAUUUUUAUCCAGGUUGACCUCGAAUCAGGUAGGAAUACCCGCUGAACUUAAGCAUAUCAAUAAGCGGAGGA